rnacentral:rRNA from 1 species
UACGGGGGGAGCAAGCGUUGUUCGGAUUUACUGGGCGUAAAGGGCGCGUAGGCGGCCAGCGCAAGUCAGUUGUGAAAUCUCCGGGCUUAACUCGGAACGGUCAACUGAUACUGCGCGGCUAGAGUGCAGAAGGGGCAACUGGAAUUCUCGGUGUAGCGGUGAAAUGCGUAGAUAUCUGGAGGAACACCGGUGGCGAAGGCGGCGUUCUGGACUGUAACUGACACUGAAAAACGAAAGCCAGGGGAGCAAACGGG